CACCCGCUGUGGCAAUGCGCUGCGAGCGCAUGCGGCUGGAAUUGGAACAGGGGCCGGCCGACGCGCACAACGGGGAAGCAUGGGCCGACGGUCGCAGGACUCGUCGGCCUUUUCUUU
rnacentral:antisense_RNA from 1 species